rnacentral:sRNA from 1 species
UUUUUUUUGAUAAACUCUUUCGGCUGAUUCGGUUAGUCCCGGUAAAAAGCACCGAAAUACUUUAGAGUGGAUUUCUCUCCAAAGAACCACCACAUUGUCUGUCCCGAAUUUGGAAUGUUUUCCGACUAAUGCCAAGAAACCACCUUCAUUUCUAACUACCAGAUAAACCAAUUGGAACAAAAUCCAACUGACAGACUUCCCAAACAAAUGUGAUUUUUGUUUCCAAGGAAGAUCGAACUCAGGUCUGGAAGUUGCACCUUUCUCUAAAACUUCCCCAACCACUAGACAACAAAUGCUUGGAUGCGAUCAUACCAACACUAUUAUUCUCUUUCCCA